ACCUGUAGCAUAAUGUCAAUAAAGCUCUUAGGAGGGAAAAGGGCAUAGAAGGGAAUUUAGCCAUCAAGUUCAAAAUUCAUCAUGACAAACUCUCACCAGCCUGUGGCACCAUGUGCAAUGAUCAUGUUAGCCAAAACCAAGUGUAGCUCAGCGAUUUCAUUAUUAAUUGAACAAUCAUCAAAGCAGAGGAAGUUCAAUAGCAAA